rnacentral:lncRNA from 2 species
GAGUCCGGAGAAGGCAGAGCAUCCGGGCCCACCGGUCAGCCAGAGCAGGACGGGGUCCUCUUCCGGGCUCCUCUCCGACUCGAUGAAGUAGUAGAAGAAUCGAGCCUCGCCAACCGCCACGGCAGGGGGCCAGCGAACCCGGGCAGGCGAUCCACCGCCUUCCUGCUGCUGCUCAUGGCCGCCGGCGACGCCGCAGCCACGGCGGCGGAGCUGCAGGAGCAGAGCAGCAGCAGCAGCAGCAAGCAGCACUGCUCUAGCCUGGUCGCCAUGGCUAGCUAG